CUGGGGAGACGAUGUGUUCACAGGAAACCUGAAGAAGAUGGAGAAGAUGAGAUCAUACACAGUACCAUCAAAAUAUCAAAUCAUCCACAACAGCCAAUCAAACCAAGAAGAGACAUUUAUUCAGCUGUGGUCUACUCAGCAGUGAGAACUGAAGACGUCAGUUAUGGACAAACAACCAUCAGAACAAGGAGGCCCAGACUUUAAACCAGAGCCAGACGUCGUCUACUCUUCACUGAAGUAGUCCACCAGUCCAACCACUGACGUCCAGCUGCUGGUCUCUAACUGAUCCCCCAGCACCUCAGACCAAAGGAGAUCCACAAAAUGAUAAAACAUUUUUUUAUUGUUUUGCAUUUUGCAGCAAAAUCAUCAAAAUCAAUCAAUGCAUCCAACUCUUACCAAAAACUGCUUUGUUUGUGGUAAGAGUGCAGUUUAUUGCCAUCACUUCAAAUUCAGUAUAACGCAACAAAAAAGUUUUAUUAUUUUUUUAAUACACCAUGGAAGUACUGAUUAUCUGCUUGUAUCCAUGUUAAUAUAUAAAGUAAACCAUCUCCCUCUAGUGGCCAUAUAUAAACCAUGCGAGGGGAUGGAUUUAAUUUAAUAUGUGAAUCAUAGUGUUCCAGUUGGUCAUCAGUGUGUCUGCACAGCUUCAGUUGUAAUGUUGCAGUCUGAGACAACACUGGCAUCUCAUGGUGCAGUGUUGUCUGAUAGUUAAAUUUUAGACACUGAAUCAAAUAAAUGAAAAAGCAACAACAAAAUGCAUAAAAACACCUUUUAGAAUGAUGUUAAUAGGAUAUAAAAAUUGAAUAAUAAUGAUCCAGUCAGUCAUCAGGGUGUCUCUGCACAGUUCUAAUUGUAAUUUUCCAGUUUGAACUCAUGAUGGCAGUGUUGUUAUCCUGGAUCAACACGAUUGAAAGUAAAAUUCUUUAGAGCUGAUUUAAAACCAGUCAACUGACUAAUGACACAGAGAUGUCUAUCAGUGUAA